rnacentral:lncRNA from 1 species
GUUCAGGUAUGCAUCGUUUACAUAAAAAAUUGUUGAGAGUAAAGGAUUCUUUCCGGGUUUGGAACAAGUCAAUUUUUGGGGAAGUUCAAAGGCAAAUAAAGCUGGCGGCUGAUGAGGUUGAUCAUAUUCAGACUUUGAUUGAUGAAGAGGGUUAGAAUAUGGAUUUGCAUGGUCAAGAGUUGCAAGCUCAGCUAUCCUUGACAAAAGCUAUGAACAGUCAGAAUCAGUUUUGGCGUGAGAAGUAUAGGAAUCAGAACUUCAUCUUUGGGGACAGGAACACGGCUUAUUUCUAUAGAACGGCUCGCAUUAAAUCAUCUUCUAAACCUAUCACUUUGCUCUUGAAUGGAAACGAUCACAUUACUUAUCCCUCCAAGAUGGAAGAACAUGUGGUGGGUUAUUUCCAAAAUAUCUUUUGUAGCAUUAAUAAUUGCAUUCCUAAUGAUUUGGCUGCGACGGUAAUUCCAGUUUUAGUUUCAGAUGAGGACAACGCUAAUUUAAUUUCUAUGCCAUUGAUUGAUGAGAUUAAAAAUGCGGUGUUUGAUUUGAAUGCUAACUGUAACACUCCUAUUUCUAUUAAAGCAAUUAAACAUCCGAAUGAUAUAUUU